GACGAACGCUGGCGGCGUGCCUAAUACAUGCAAGUAGAACGCUGAAGCGAGGAGCUUACUCUUCUUGGAUGAGUUGCGAACGGGUGAGUAACGCGUAGGUAACCUGCCUUGUAGCGGGGGAUAACUAUUGGAAACGAUAGCUAAUACCGCAUAACAAUGGAUGACACAUGUCAUUUAUUUGAAAGGGGCAAUUGCUCCACUACAAGAUGGACCUGCGUUGUAUUAGCUAGUAGGUGAGGUAAUGGCUCACCUAGGCGACGAUACAUAGCCGACCUGAGAGGGUGAUCGGCCACACUGGGACUGGGACACGGCCCAGACUCCUACGGGAGGCAGCAGUAGGGAAUCUUCGGCAAUGGGGGCAACCCUGACCGAGCAACGCCGCGUGAGUGAAGAAGGUUUUCGGAUCGUAAAGCUCUGUUGUAAGUCAAGAACGGGUGUGAGAGUGGAAAGUUCACACUGUGACGGUAGCUUACCAGAAAGGGACGGCUAACUACGUG
rnacentral:rRNA from 1 species